rnacentral:tRNA from 1 species
UCCCUGGAGGACUAGCGGUUAGGCCUUGGGGCGCUCACCGCCAUCACCCGGGUUCGAUUCCCGGCAAGGGAA